GUGCCAAGUGGGCCAAUUUUGGUAAGCAGAACUGGCGCUGUGGGAUGAACCAAACGCAGAGUUAAAGCGCCUAAAUCGACGCUCAUGGGAAACCAUGAAAGGCGUUGGUUGCUUAAGACAGCAGGACGGUGGCCAUGGAAGUCGGAAUCCGCUAAGGAGUGUGUAACAACUCACCUGCCGAAGCAACUAGCCCUGAAAAUGGAUGGCGCUGAAGCGUCGUGCUUAUACUCUGCCGUCAGGGCAAGAGAGGCGGACUCGUUCCGCCAUGAAGCUCUGACGAGUAGGAGGGUCGCGUCGGUGUGCGCAGAAGGGUCUGGGCGUGAGCCUGCCUGGAGCCGCCGACGGUGCAGAUCUUGGUGGUAGUAGCAAAUACUCCAGAGAGGCCCUGGAGGACUGAUGUGGUAGAAGGGUUUCGUGUGAACAGCCGUUGCACACGAGUCAGUCGAUCCUAAGCCCUAGGAGAAAUCCGAAGUCGAUGAGCGAGUCUGAUCAUUUUAAAGAGCAUUUGUGAAGACCGCCGUCGGGCGAAAGGGAAUCCGGUUCCUAUUCCGGAACCCAGCAUCGGAACCGUUUCCAAUCGGGCCCUUACAGCUCGUCAGGGUAACCUAACAUGCCCCGGAGACGCCGUCGGGAGCUGCCGGGAGAGUUAUCUUUUCUGUAUAAGUGCGCAUACUCCCUGGAAGCCUCUAGCAGGGAGAUAGGGAGCAGCGCGCGAAGAGCACCGCACUUGCGGCGGUGUCGGCAGCGUCCUCUCGGACCUUGAAAAUCCGGGCGAGGGCCACGUGGACGUCCGAUCUGGUUCGUACCCAUAUCCGCAGCAGGUCUCCAAGGUGAAGAGCCUCUAG
rnacentral:rRNA from 1 species